rnacentral:lncRNA from 1 species
ACAGGUCCUCCCUUAGAGCGUCUGAGAAGCUGCAUGUGUCAACGAUGCAUCGCACCAACCUGCUGUUCCUCGUCUCUGGCAUCUCUGGAGCAGUAUCGUUUGCUUGUGUCCAUACAAGCCUGACUGCAUGCAUUCCUGUCGGCAGUGCACCUAUGUGACCAAGUACAAGACAAACAUGAAAGCACACCUUCGCAGACACACAGGGAGUGCCCCUUCCAGUGCCACCUGUGUCCGGCUGCACUCACUCAUUACAGUGAUCUCGGGAACCAUAUUCGCAUCUAUACGAGGGAGCAUCCCUUUUCCUGCAUCCACUGCAGUCCAUCCUUUCGGUCAAAAAGCCACCUAGCAAAGCACAUGCACACAAGAGAGUGUCCCUUUUCCUGUGUCCAAUGCAAUGCAUGUUUGCGCAGAAAGGUGCACUAAAGAAACCACACGUGUCGUCAUCAUGCAAAGAAGCCCUGACGGUCGGGGGUACAGAACAUAAUUUUUUUUUGUGGGUCGACAAUGAGGGUUCAUUGAUUAAGUUUUUAUGGCGAAUGAUAACUUGUAAAGUGGGUCAAAGGGUUUUCCGAUGCCUCAGAAAUGGUGUUUCUUACAGUAUAUUGCAUAGAGAGAAAUGUCUUGUUAAAG